rnacentral:rRNA from 1 species
AGGGUUCGAUUCUGGCUCAGGAUGAACGCUAGCUACAGGCUUAACACAUGCAAGUCGAGGGGUAGCAGGGUAGCAAUACCGCUGACGACCGGCGCACGGGUGAGUAACACGUAUCCAACCUUCCCAUAACUCAGGGAUAGCCUUUCGAAAGAAAGAUUAAUACCUGAUAGUACUUUUUCAAGGCAUCUUGAGAAAGUUAAAGAUUUAUUGGUUAUGGAUGGGGAUGCGUUCCAUUAGAUAGUUGGUGAGGUAACGGCUCACCAAGUCUUCGAUGGAUAGGGGUUCUGAGAGGAAGGUCCCCCACAUUGGUACUGAGACACGGACCAAACUCCUACGGGAGGCAGCAGUGAGGAAUAUUGGUCAAUGGGCGAGAGCCUGAACCAGCCAAGUAGCGUGAAGGAAUGAAGGUCCUAUGGAUUGUAAACUUCUUUUAUAGUAGAAUAAAGUGAUCCACGUGUGGAUUUUUGUAUGUAUACUAUGAAUAAGGAUCGGCUAACUCCGUGCCAGCCGCCGC